rnacentral:rRNA from 1 species
UACGUAGGGGGCUAGCGUUGUCCGGAAUCAUUGGGCGUAAAGAGCGCGUAGGCGGCCAGAUAAGUCCGGUGUGAAAGUCAGAGGCUCAACCUUUGAAUGCCGCUGGAAACUGUCUGGCUUGAGUCCGGUAGGGGCGAGUGGAAUUCCUGGUGUAGCGGUGAAAUGCGCAGAUAUCAGGAGGAACACCAAUGGCGAAGGCAGCUCGCUGGAACGGUACUGACGCUGAGGCGCGAAAGCGUGGGGAGCAAACAGG